CCUGAAAUUUUUUUUCAUAGUGGGACUUAACUCAUUGUUAAACUUCCUAGAAAAGCUCGAACUACUAAUAAUUAAGAAUUACCUGUACCCCAAACCGACACAGGUAGGUGGGUAGAGUAUACCUAGGGGCGCGAGAUAACUCUCUCUAAGGAACUCGGCAAAAUGGCCCCGUAACUUCGGGAGAAGGGGUGCCUCUAGAAAUAGAGGCCGCAGUGACCAGGCCCAGGCGACUGUUUACCAAAAACACAGGUCUCCGCUAAGUCGUAAGACAAUAUAUGGGGGCUGACGCCUGCCCAGUACCGGAAGGUGAAGGAAGUUGGUUAUUUUAUUCUUUUGAAUAAGAAAAGCUGACAACCGAAGCCCCGGUGAACGGCGGCCGUAACAAUAACGGUCCUAAGGUAGCGAAAUUCCUUGCCAGGUAAGUUCUGGCCCGCACGAAAGGCGUAACGAUCUGGGCACUGUCUCGGAGAGAGGCUCGGUGAAAUAGACAUAUCCGUGAAGAUGCGGAUUUCCUGCACCUGGACAGAAAGACCCUAUGAAGCUUGACUGUAGCCUGGAAUUGAAUUCGGGCUUUUCUUGCGCAGCCUAGGUGGGAGGCGUUGAUAAUUCUCUUCCGGGAGGGUUGGAGCCAUCAGUGAGAGACCACUCUGGAGAAGCUUGAAUUCUAAUGGCGAUCCUUGAAUCAGGACGUUUGACAGUUUCAGGUGGGCAGUUUGACUGGGGCGGUCGCCUCCUAAACAGUAACGGAGGCGUGCAAAGGUUCCCUCAGGCUGGACGGAAAUCAGCCGAAGAGUGUAAAGGCAGAAGGGAGCUUGACUGCAAGACCUACAAGUCGAGCAGGGGCGAAAGCCGGCCUUAGUGAUCCGACGGUACCGAGUGGAAGGGCCGUCGCUCAACGGAUAAAAGUUACUCUAAGGAUAACAGGCUGAUCUUCCCCAAGAGUUCACAUCGACGGGAAGGUUUGGCACCUCGAUGUCGGCUCAUCGCAUCCUAGAGCGGUAGUACGUUCUAAGGGUUGGGCUGUUCGCCCAUGAAAGCGGUACGUGAGCUGGGUUCAGAACGUCGUGAGACAGUUCGGUCCAUAUCCGGUGUAGGCGUAAGAGCAUUGAGAGGAGUCUUCCAUUGUACGAGAGGACCUGGAAGAACGCACCACUAGUAUACAGUUCUCCUGCCAAGGGGAAACGCUGGGUAGCCAAGUGCGGAGAGAAUAACUGCUGAAAGCAUCUAAGUAGGAAGCCCACCUUAAGAUGAGUGCUCUCGUAAGCUUGCUUACAAAGGUCACGGUAAGACUAACCGUUUAAUAGGUAUCAAGUGUAAGGCUAGUAAUAGUUGUAGCUGAGAUAUACUAACAGACCGAGUGAUUUU
rnacentral:rRNA from 1 species